rnacentral:tRNA from 1 species
UCCCUGGUGGCUCAGCAGGUAAAGAAUCUGCCUGCAAUGCAGGAGAUCUAGGUUCGAUUCCUGGGUUGGGAA